rnacentral:rRNA from 1 species
AACGAACGCUGGCGGCAUGCCUAACACAUGCAAGUCGAACGAGACCUUCGGGUCUAGUGGCGCACGGGUGCGUAACGCGUGGGAAUCUACCCUUGGGUUCGGAAUAACAGUUAGAAAUGACUGCUAAUACCGGAUGAUGACGUAAGUCCAAAAAUUUAUCGCCCAAGGAUGAGCCCGCGUAAGAUUAGCUUGUUGGUGGGGUAACGGCCUACCAAGGCGACGAUCUUUAGCUGGUCUGAGAGGAUGAUCAGCCACACUGGGACUGAGACACGGCCCAGACUCCUACGGGAGGCAGCAGUGGGGAAUAUUGGACAAUGGGCGAAAGCCUGAUCCAGCAAUGCCGCGUGAGUGAUGAUGGCCUUAGGGUUGUAAAGCUCUUUUACCAGGGAUGAUAAUGACAGUACCUGGAGAAUAAGCUCCGGCUAACUCCGUGCCAGCCGCCGCGGUAA